CAUGACCUGAGCUGAAGUCGGACACUCGACCUACUGGGCCACCCAGGUAAAAGGUGAAAGCAACCGAGUGUCCAUCCACGGAGGAGUGGAUAGGAAGAAUGUGGCCCGUUCGUACACUGGAAGAUUCUUCAGCCUUAAAAAGGAAGGCUGUCCUGACCCCAGCUACAACAGGGACGAACCUGGAGGACGUUACGCUGAGUGAGGCUCAGCGUAACACCUGACGGAAGGAAGAAGCCCAAGAUCGAUUUGUUAAAAGAAACAACGGAUGAGAGAAUAAAUCGGGAACUGAAAUGUGAAUAGGAACGGACGUAGCAUGAUUGCAGCCAAGGCAAUAUGGGGAGAAUGUUACACAGACAAGUCAAGGAAGUCGAGGCCACUACAGUGCAGCUGACGGGGGAAUCUUUUUCAGAUGGACCAUAAGCAGGAAGUGAGACUUCCUUUCGGCCCCAGGGAGAGGACUCAGAUAGAGGCUCCCCCAAAAGACCCCUCCUCCAGGAAGCCUGCCUGGAACGUUUUCCCUUUUCAGCCUGACUGAACUCAUCCGGUGCCUUGGACACUUAAACAUACUGGCUGUCUCAGGUGCACUCGAGGCUCAGCGUACCCCUGCCGUGGAGGAGUCUGGCAGACCGUCAAACAAAAACUGCCGAUAACCUCAAUCAUGGCACCCACCGUCAACGUCACACAGAACAGGGAACGGGUCCCGCCGCCACGGCCACCGCCGCUGCCACGCUCACAGCGCUGGCCGUCCACGGCCACACACGACCAACCUCCACUAAGGCCGCCGUUCCCACACCACCAUCGCCAGGGCGGUCGUCAAAAAUCAGCAACGGACGACCAACAGCCAAAAGCGCUGCCAUCACCGCCCCACUCAGGGCAAGAGCGGCCACCGACUACCGUCACUCCACGGAUCAGCCCUGAAGACGACCAGCCACCAACCACAGAUCAACACCGGCUGGCAGGCGGCAACCAUCGCCCCUGCCGACACGCGCCCACGGGACUCACAGUUACCGCCAACUUGCGACGACCGUGGGCGAUGACCACCACCACCCUCCCCACCCCCCCCCACCCCCGGGCACCCACCACCCAUCAUUCAACAGCAACCGAGAGUCGCCUCCCCCGGCUGCCAUCACUAACGACAGCAAUGAAUGGGCAUCGCCCACGGGGACUGCAUCGAGGGCACAGCGCGGGGCUUGGGGAAGCACUUGAAGCACACUGCUCCGUUGACUCCUUCCACACUCUUCCUGGCACUCAUCGCCCCCGCCAGGAAGCAGUCGGCACCCCUGGAUGGAAGUUUUGGCCUCGUGGAUGGGGUCUGCCCUCUGUUUUCCCCUCCGUGGUCCUCUUGGGUUGAGCUUCUCCCUUCCCGCAACCCGACAGGAGAGCAAACCAUUGACUAAGCAUUUUGUACAGCUUCCUUGCGAGGGGGUGGAUUUCUUUCAAAUAGCAAAUCGUUUCCUGUGUUCUUUUGAUCUCCGUCUCCCCAUCCGAGCGCCCGAGCCUUCCUGGCUUGGCUCCUUCUUCGAGGAAUUCCCAUCCGAAGCCCGGGGCUCUAAGCUGCCACUUUGGUGGGUGAGCCACCCAGAGGGGUCCUCGGCCAGUGACCCCCGGUUCGUCACGGGCUUUCUGAAACGAGGAGGGGCUCUCUCCCAGACGGACGCGGUCCCUGCCGUCUGGCCCACCACCCUGCCUCCACCUUGGUCAGGUGCCCGCGGCGGCUGGCUGGGUGACUGUCCCAGCCACAUGCUGUCAUUGACAGAGUGACAAAAAAUGAAAGUCGAAGUGGUUUGCAGAUGCGUGGAGCGGUGGGGGCACAUCUUAGAGCCAGGCUGGGCUCUCUCUUUACGUGUGUGUUAGGAGGCUGCUGGGUCUAGACCCACGAUAGUGACGGUUUCCUGAACCCCGUCACCGCAGUCAUCGCCAGACCUCAGCCUCACCAGGUGGUGAUGCGGCUGGCGGCAGGGUGUCCCCUGCCAUACUUGCUUGGAAGGCUUCCGGGAGCGGUGUGGCCCUGCCGGGCCUCACCGCCUCCUGUUUCUGUGAUCGCUACAGCCAGACAUGCAGGCACACUGCCACGACACCAUCGCUGCCCCCCAUUGCCCACUGGACACAGCUUCUGGCCGCAGCUGUGGACUCAGAGUGGCCGAGCCCGCAGACCCUGUGAAGUUCGGAGACUUUCCCGGAACACCUUCCCUAUCACCACUGACUUCCAAAUAUGACAUGUGUGGGAACUGAGGCCCAGAGAGGGGAAGUGGCUUGCCCCAGGCCACACAGGAAGAUGAGGGACCGGGAUGAGCUGGAAACUGGCUCUCUAAGCCCUGACAAAGGGGACAUGGCAGUUCGGAGAGGUCGGCGCCUCCCGGCCAGGAGGAGGAGGAGGAGGUCGAGGCCGAGGCAGGCGA